rnacentral:ncRNA from 1 species
AAAUAGUCAUAAAUUUAAUGUGAAAAAAAAAACAAUAAUUUGUAUGAUGCUAAAUUAAUUUUAUCAAAAUUAUUCGCGAUGUUUACGAUUUUAUCAAAAAUAUUAGCGAUACUUGAAUUUAUCAAAAUCAGCGUGAUGUAACCAUUACCAAAAGGUAUUGGUAACCCCUUGAAAAUCCUCCGUGAUCGGCGUCAGGAAUUGCAAUUAUUCCCUUGAACGAGGAAUUCCUAGUAAAAUGUGAGUCAUCAGCUCACGUUGAUUACGUCCCUGCCCUUUGUACACACCGCCCGUCGCUACCCGGAACUGAGCCGUUUCGAGAAAAACGGAGACUGCU